CUGAGCUGGACUGAUGGCGGAUUUAACUAUGGAAACUAUGAAAACGCGAGUAAAACAAACGAUUACACUAAAGGUUGGGCUCGAAAGUGUUCCUUAUAACAUGUCAAAGAAACCUAAUGUAUGGAUAUUGACAUGCAGGAAGGAAUCGUGUUUCCUGACAUUUAUAGCUAUGUCAAAAAUUGACAUUCAAAAUCCUCCCUCAACCUUCUCAUCUUCCGAGUGGACGUUUCUCUGAACAAGUCGCGAGCGCCACAGAGAAAACCAACACAAUCUGAGGUUUUUGUAUGGAAUUCGAGCAGGUGGAUGUAACUGAGGGUGGAAAUGCUACGCUACAGUUCCCAACUUCUGGAUUGAUUAAAUUCUAUGAAAUAAAUUGUACAACAGAGUCUGAAAUCUCUUGGAUCGGUCAAUACUGUGGCACUAAUGAGUUCUGCACCACAUGGUCGAGCGCACCGAAUGUUUUAAUAGAGUCUGGCUGUCUAAUUCUAGUUAAUGUCACCUCCAACAAAUGCUUCAGUGCAAUACCCAUACCAGGAAAUGAGAAAUAUUAUAAUGUUACUACAGAGAAACCACCACACUUGACCAUCAGCCCAGAAAAAUCCAACAGUAAUGCAACACCCUUCUAUACUUCACCUUCAAACACAUCCGGUGUAUCCAAACAUAUUGGUGUUG